CACCGCGGUUAUACGAGAGACCCAAGUUGAUGAACGCCGGCGUAAAAUGUGGUUAAUAUAAAAUUUCACUAAAGCCAAACAUCUUCAAAGCUGUUAUACGCCCCCGAAGACAAGAAGCCCCCUCACGAAAGUGGCCUUAAACCAUAUUAUCCACGAAAGCUAGGGAA
rnacentral:rRNA from 1 species